GGAAGGAUCAUUAAUGAAUAACGCAAAAACACUGUUAUGUGUGUANUUGUGUGUGUGAUACAGUGAUAAGUUAGUCCAGUGUUGCUUGUGGAAGCGCACAGUAAUAUGUGUUUUACAGGCAAUUGACUUAUCAUCUUAUAAUACGGGCUUCCAAAACCAACUACGCCAGUUAAUUGAUACUGCAGAUGUAUUCGACUAGCAUAUACUACUACAUUUAAAUGUGUGUGUGUGUAUGUUAAGCGAUAAAAUCAAGUGAUGUCGCUGGGCAAUUACUUGAGUAUGUUGAAUGUUCACUUAGCUGGCGUAAGUAUAAUUGUUGAAGCGAGUUUUAUUCUACGAGUAUAAGUUUUUAAAAAAAGAGAGUGAAAAACACAACCAUGAACAGUGGAUCACUCGGCUCGUGUAUCGAUGAAGAACGUGGCAAAAUGCGAUAAGUAAUGCGAUUCGCAAGCCAAGUGAGUCAUCAAAUCUUUGAACGCAAAUGGCACCUAUGAUAACCUCAUGGGUAUGUCUGGCUGAGGGUCUAACGAUAAUGUAUAAAAUAUACUCAUGUAAAAUGUUUGUUUUACUUGAUGUAUAUCAUAUGAUUGUGAUAGUAUGUGUAGGCUAUCUCAAUUUAAAUGUGGUAGUAUUUUGUGAUACUGCUAAUAAUGCAAUUCUAGUUACUCUGCAUUUGAAUGAGGUGUACUAUGCAUAGUACAUUUCGAAUAUAAACAAGUGUGCUUUGUUUGGUAAAAUCCUUGUUUAAAUAAUAAGUAACACAAUCGAGAGUGAGUUGCAUGAUAAUUUACUACAUAUAGUAUAAGUUAUAAUANUCAUCAAUUUGACCUCAGCUCAGGCAAGAAAACGCUCUGAACUUAAGCAUAUUACUAAGAGCAGGAAAAGAAAAUA
rnacentral:rRNA from 1 species